rnacentral:rRNA from 1 species
UACGUAGGUGGCGAGCGUUGUCCGGAAUUACUGGGUGUAAAGGGCGUGUAGGCGGGAAUGUAAGUCAGAUGUGAAAUUCCGGGGCUCAACCCCGGCACUGCAUCUGAAACUAUAUUUCUUGAGUGCUGGAGAGGAAAGCGGAAUUCCUAGUGUAGCGGUGAAAUGCGUAGAUAUCGUUUGGAACGCCAAUGGUGAAAACAGCUCGCUGGGGGUGCGCUGACACUGAGACACGAAAGCCAGGGGAGCAAAC